rnacentral:rRNA from 1 species
GACGAACGCUGGCGGCGUGCUUAACACAUGCAAGUCGAACGAUGAAGAAGAGAAACUCGCACUUCGGUUCAAAUUUCACUACGGAGUAGUUGCAGACGGGUGAGUAACGCGUGAGCAACCUACCUCUUACAAAGGGAUAGCCCCGAGACACCGUGAUUAAUACCAUAUGACACAUUCAUACGGCAUCUUAAGAAUGUUAAAGCUACGUCGGUAAGAGAUGGGCUUGCGUCCCAUUAGCUAGUUGGUGAGGUAACGGCCCACCAAGGCGACGAUGGGUAACCGGGCUGGGAGGGUGAACGGUCACAUUGGAAGUGAGACCCGGUCGAAACUCCUACGGGAGGCAGCAGUGGGGAAUAUUGAACAGUGGAGGGAAGUCUGAGGCAGCGACGCCGCGUGAGCGAUGAAGGAAUUCGUUACGUAAAGCGCGGUUAUAUGGGAAGAAAAGGACGGUACCAGAGGAGAAAGCCCCGGCUAAAUACGUG